rnacentral:rRNA from 1 species
ACACUCCUGCGGGAGGCAGCAGUGGGGAAUAUUGCACAAUGGGCGCAAGCCUGAUGCAGCCAUGCCGCGUGUAUGAAGAAGGCCUUCGGGUUGUAAAGUACUUUCAGCGGGGAGGAAGGCAAUACGGUUAAUAACCGUGUUGAUUGACGUUACCCGCAGAAGAAGCACCGGCUAACUCCGUGCCAGCAGCCGCGGUAAUACGGAGGGUGCAAGCGUUAAUCGGAAUUACUGGGCGUAAAGCGCACGCAGGCGGUCUGUCAAGUCGGAUGUGAAAUCCCCGGGCUCAACCUGGGAACUGCAUUCGAAACUGGCAGGCUUGAGUCUUGUAGAGGGGGGUAGAAUUCCAGGUGUAGCGGUGAAAUGCGUAGAGAUCUGGAGGAAUACCGGUGGCGAAGGCGGCCCCCUGGACAAAGACUGACGCUCAGGUGCGAAAGCGUGGGGAGCAAACAGGAGUAGAUACCCCUGUAGUCCCAU